ensembl:snoRNA SNORD12B small nucleolar RNA, C/D box 12B
GCUGGCGUGUAUGAUGACUGGAUUUUUCCCCGGCAGAUCGACCGUGUUGAUCUACCUUCUCUAAGCCAGUUUCUGUCUGACCCGCCAGC